rnacentral:rRNA from 1 species
CUGUAUGGUCAAGUGAAUAAGCGCAUACGGUGGAUGCCUUGGCAGUUAGAGGCGAUGAAGGACGUAGGAGCCUGCGAUAAGCUUCGGGGAGGUGGCAAGCAACCUUUGAUCCGGAGAUUUCCGAAUGGGGAAACCUAUCUACGAUAACGUAGAUAUUAUGUGCUGAAUACAUAGGCGCAUAAAGCGAACCCGGAGAACUGAAACAUCUAAGUACCCGGAGGAAAAGAAAUCAACCGAGAUUCCCUUAGUAGCGGCGAGCGAAAUGGGAUCAGCCUGCAAGUAAUAGCUUAAAAGUUAGAAGAACAGUCUGGAAAGUCUGGCAAUAUAGGGUGAUAGCCCCGUACUCGAAAACUUUUUUGUGGUACUAAGCUUGCGACAAGUAGGUCGGGACACGUGAUAUCUUGACUGAAUAUGGGGGGACCAUCCUCCAAGGCUAAAUACUACUAACUGACCGAUAGUGAACCAGUACCGUGAGGGAAAGGCGAAAAGAACCCCGGAGAGGGGAGUGAAAUAGAACCUGAAACCGUAUGCGUACAAGCAGUAGGAGCGGACUUGUUCCGUGACUGCGUACCUUUUGUAUAAUGGGUCAGCGACUUAUUUUCAGUGGCAAGGUUAACCGUUUAGGGUAGCCGUAGGGAAACCGAGUCUUAAUAGGGCGCCAUAGUCGCUGGGAAUAGACCCGAAACCGGGCGAUCUAUCCAUGGACAGGUUGAAGGUUGAGUAACAUCAACUGGAGGACCGAACCCACUAAUGUUGAAAAAUUAGGGGAUGAGCUGUGGAUCGGAGUGAAAGGCUAAUCAAGCCCGGAGAUAGCUGGUUCUCCUCGAAAGCUAUUUAGGUAGUGCCUCAUGUAUCACCACUGGGGGUAGAGCACUGUUUCGGCUAGGGGGUCAUACCGACUUACCAACCCGAUGCAAACUCCGAAUACCAGUGAGUGCAAUCAUGGGAGACACACGGCGGGUGCUAACGUUCGUCGUGGAGAGGGAAACAACCCAGACCGCCAGCUAAGGUCCCUAAUAUCAGUUAAGUGGGAAACGAUGUGGGAAGGCUCAGACAGCUAGGAAGUUGGCUUAGAAGCAGCCAUCUUUUAAAGAAAGCGUAAUAGCUCACUAGUCGAGUCGGCCUGCGCGGAAGAUUUAACGGGGCUAAACUGAUAACCGAAGCUGCGGACGCAUAUUUAUAUGCGUGGUAGAGGAGCGUUCUGUAGGCCGUUGAAGGUGUACUGAGAAGUAUGCUGGAGGUAUCAGAAGUGCGAAUGCUGACGUGAGUAACGAUAAAGCGGGUGAAAAACCCGCUCGCCGGAAGAUCAAGGUUUCCUGUCCAACGCUAAUCGGGACAGGGUUAGUCGGUACCUAAGGCGAGGCCGAAAGGCGUAGUCGAUGGAAAACAGGUUAAUAUUCCUGUACCGCUAUAUACUGCGAUGGGGGGACGGAGAAGGCUAGGUGAUCAGGGCGUUGGUUGUCCCUGUUCAAGCUUGUAGGGAGAUUUCUUAGGUAAAUCCGGGAAAUCGCUAUCCUGAGAAGUGAUGUCGAGCUCAAUUGCGAGCGAAGUCAUUGAUGCCAUGCUUCCAAGAAAAGCCUCUAAGCUUAAGGUGCAUAGCGACCGUACUCUAAACCGACACAGGUGAUCAGGUAGAGAAUACUAAGGCGCUUGAGAGAACUAUGGUGAAGGAACUAGGCAAAAUGGUGCCGUAACUUCGGGAGAAGGCACGCCAGUUUUGGUGAUAGAAUUUACUUCUUGAGCUGAGAUUGGUCGCAGAGACCAGGCCCCUGCGACUGUUUAUCUAAAACACAGCACUCUGCAAACUCGUAAGAGGACGUAUAGGGUGUGACGCCUGCCCGGUGCCGGAAGGUUAAUUGAUGGGGUUAGCUUCGGCGAAGCUCUUGAUCGAAGCCCCGGUAAACGGCGGCCGUAACUAUAACGGUCCUAAGGUA